rnacentral:rRNA from 1 species
UACGAAUGGUGCAAGCGUUACUCGGAAUUACUGGGCGUAAAGCGUGCGUAGGUGGUUCGUUAAGUCUGUCGUGAAAGCCCCGGGCUCAACCUGGGAAUGGCGAUGGAUACUGGCGGGCUAGAGUGCGGUAGAGGAGAGUGGAAUUCCCGGUGUAGCAGUGAAAUGCGUAGAGAUCGGGAGGAACAUCAGUUGCGAAGGCGGCUCUCUGGACCAGCACUGACACUGAGGCACGAAAGCGUGGGGAGCAAACAGG